rnacentral:rRNA from 1 species
CGCCUUGCCAGCCCGCUCAGAAACUUAAAUGAAUUGACGGGGGCCCGCACAAGCGGUGGAGUAUGUGGUUUAAUUCGAUGCAACGCGAAGAACCUUACCUGGUCUUGACAUCCCGGAGACCCUUAGGAAACUAGGGGGUGCUUCCAUCUGGAAGAAUCUGGAGACAGGUGCUGCAUGGCUGUCGUCAGCUCGUGUCGUGAGAUGUUGGGUUAAGUCCCGCAACGAGCGCAACCCUUGCCUUUAGUUGCCAGCAGUUCGGCUGGGCGCUCUAAAGGGACUGCCGGUGUUAAACCGGAGGAAGGUGGGGAUGACGUCAAGUCCUCAUGGCCUUUAUGACCAGGGCUACACACGUACUACAAUGGCCGAUACAAAGGGCAGCGACACUGCGAGGUGAAGCCAAUCCCGUAAAAUCGGUCUCAGUCCGGAUUGGAGUCUGCAACUCGACUCCAUGAAGUUGGAAUCGCUAGUAAUCGCGGAUCAGCCAAGCCGCGGUGAAUACGUUCCCGGGCCUU